ACACAGAGAACCACGUGGAGGAAUAGCACGCCAGUUUGGAGCGGGUGGAGCGCAGAAAGAAGUGGACUGGAAUGUGACACGACCGGGCAGCUGGAAGGCACCUCAUUCUGGGGACCUGUCACCCCAGACAGAAAUGGACUAUACACGGACAGCUGGGGUCCUCCUGCAUCAGAUCUCCACAACCUACUUGGGAUCUGCUGUCUCUCCACACUGCUGGCUCCUGUCCAUGGGUGUUGCUAUGACAAAACAUCACAGACAGCGUGGCUUAUAAACGAGAGAAAUUUAUUUUUCACCGCCCUGGAAGCUAGAGAGCCCAAGAUCAAAGAGCUGGCCGAUCUGGUGUUAGAGCCAUCUGUCUUCCUGCUACAAUCAGCGCCUCCUUAUUGCAUCCUUACCUGGGGGAAGGGAGCUCCGGGCUCCGUCAUACGGUACUAAUUCAGCUCACGAGGCAUCCACUGUCAUGACCUCAUGACCUCCUGUCGCAGUGUGUUUUGUGCUGCUAUCACAAGAUACCACAGAUUGCAUCAUUUAUAAACAACAGAGGUUUAUUUGGUUCGUGAUUCUGGAGGCCGGGAUGUCCAAGAUGGAGGGCCCACCCACAUCUGCCGUGGGCCUUCCUGCUGUGUCAUAUGUGGUGGAAGGCGUCACAUACGUGCAGGAGCAAGAGUGAGCUGGCAGCCUCAAGCCCUUUUAUAACUGGCAUCAGUUCAUGGUGAGGAUGACCAUGACUUCAUGAAUGAAACAACUCUCUUAGGCCUCAUCUCCCAAAGCUGUGUCUUGGGGAUUAAGUGACAGAAACAUGCUAUUUGUGGGGUACAUUCAAACCAUAGCACAUCUGCAGGGCCCUGCCUUCAAAUAUCUCCAUUUUAGGGGUCAGAAUUUCAAUGUAGUAAGUUUUGUGAAAGGUAAACAUUCAGAUUCUAACAAGUGUUCAUAUUACUGUGAUUAUGUAAAUAUUACUCACAGCCAAGCCAUGUAAGCACUAUGGUUAUUGUUCUUUUGUCCUCCCUCUGGAGCUAAAUAUUUGCCAUGGGAGGCAAAUUGUAUUGAGAACAACAUUUUAAAAUUUUAAAGUAAUGAGGCAGGCAUGGUGGUGCAUGCCUGUAAUCUCAGCACUCUGGG